GAGUUUGAUCAUGGCUCAGAUUGAACGCUGGCGGCAGGCCUAACACAUGCAAGUCGAGCGGUAGAGAGAAGCUUGCUUCUCUUGAGAGCGGCGGACGGGUGAGUAAUGCCUAGGAAUCUGCCUGGUAGUGGGGGAUAACGUUCGGAAACGGACGCUAAUACCGCAUACGUCCUACGGGAGAAAGCAGGGGACCUUCGGGCCUUGCGCUAUCAGAUGAGCCUAGGUCGGAUUAGCUAGUUGGUGGGGUAAUGGCUCACCAAGGCGACGAUCCGUAACUGGUCUGAGAGGAUGAUCAGUCACACUGGAACUGAGACACGGUCCAGACUCCUACGGGAGGCAGCAGUGGGGAAUAUUGGACAAUGGGCGAAAGCCUGAUCCAGCCAUGCCGCGUGUGUGAAGAAGGUCUUCGGAUUGUAAAGCACUUUAAGUUGGGAGGAAGGGCAGUAAAUUAAUACUUUGCUGUUUUGACGUUACCGACAGAAUAAGCACCGGCUAACUCUGUGCCAGCAGCCGCGGUAAUACAGAGGGUGCAAGCGUUAAUCGGAAUUACUGGGCGCAAAGCGCGCGUAGGUGGUUCGUUAAGUUGGAUGUGAAAGCCCCGGGCUUAACCUGGGAACUGCAUUUGAAACUGGCGAACUAGAGUUUAAUA
rnacentral:rRNA from 1 species